rnacentral:misc_RNA from 1 species
GAUGAAGAACGUAGCGAAAUGCGAUAAGUAAUGUGAAUUGCAGAAUUCAGUGAAUCAUCGAAUCUUUGAACGCACAUUGCGCCCGCCAGUAUUCUGGCGGGCAUGCCUGUUCGAGCGUCAUUUCAACCAUCAAGCCCCAGGCUUGUGUUGGGGUCCUGCGGCUGCCCGCAGGCCCUGAAAACCAGUGGCGGGCUCGCUAGUCACACCGAGCGCAGUAAUACAUCUCGCUUUGGGCGUGCGGCGGGUUCUUGCCGUUAAACACCCCCUUUUUACCAAGGUUGACCUCGGAUCAGGUAGGAAUACCCGCUGAACUUAAGCAUAUCAAUAAGCGGAGGA